CCUACGGGGUGCAGCAGUGGGGAAUAUUGCACAAUGGGGGAAACCCUGAUGCAGCGACGCCGCGUGAGUGAAGAAGUAUUUCGGUAUGUAAAGCUCUAUUAGCAGGGAAGAAAAUGACGGUUCCUGAUUAAGAAGCCCCGGCUAACUACGUGCCAGCAGCCGCGGUAAUACGUAGGGGGCAAGCGUUAUCCGGAUCUAUUGUGUGUAAAGGGAGCGUAGAUGGCAGCACAAGUCUGGAGUGAAAGGCCGGGGCUUAACCCCGGAACUGCAUUGGAAACUGGGCAGCUAGAGUGCAGGAGAGGUGAGUGGAAUUCCUGGUGUAGCGGUGAAAUGCGUAGAUAUUAGGAGGAACACCAGUGGCGAAGGCGGCUUACUGGACUGUAACUGACGUUGAGGCUCGAAAGCGUGGGGAGCAAACAGGAUUAGAUACCCUAGUAGUC
rnacentral:rRNA from 1 species